rnacentral:tRNA from 1 species
GGGUCAAGCUGGGAAUCGAACCAAAGACCUCUCGCACCCGACGUGAGAAUCAUACCUCUAGACCACUUGGCC